UGCCAGCCGCCGCGGUAAUACGGAGGAUUCGAGCGUUAUCCGGAUUUAUUGGGUUUAAAGGGUCCGUAGGCGGGCUUGUAAGUCAGUGGUGAAAUCCCGGAGCUCAACUCCGGAACUGCCAUUGAUACUGCAGGUCUUGAAUUUAGUUGAGGUGGGCGGAAUACGUUAUGUAGCGGUGAAAUGCAUAGAUAUAACGUAGAACACCGAUUGCGAAGGCAGCUCUCUAUGACAUAACUGACGCUCAGGCACGAAAGCGUGGGGAGCGAACAGGAUUAGAUA
rnacentral:rRNA from 1 species